UACGUAGGGGGCUAGCGUUGUCCGGAAUCAUUGGGCGUAAAGCGCGUGUAGGCGGUCCGGUAAGUCCGCUGUGAAAGUCGGGGGCUCAACCCUCGGAUGCCGGUGGAUACUGUCGGGCUUGAGUACGGAAGAGGCGAGUGGAAUUCCUGGUGUAGCGGUGAAAUGCGCAGAUAUCGGGAGGAACACCAAUGGCGAAGGCAGCUCGCUGGGACGGUACUGACGCUGAGACGCGAAAGCGUGGGGAGCAAACAGG
rnacentral:rRNA from 1 species